UACGGAGGGGGCUAGCGUUGUUCGGAAUUACUGGGCGUAAAGCGCACGUAGGCGGCUUUGUAAGUUAGAGGUGAAAGCCCAGGGCUUAACCCUGGAAUUGCCUUUAAGACUGCAUCGCUCGAAUUGUGGAGAGGUGAGUGGAAUUCCGAGUGUAGAGGUGAAAUUCGUAGAUAUUCGGAAGAACACCAGUGGCGAAGGCGACUCACUGGACGCAUAUUGACGCUGAGGUGCGAAAGCGUGGGGAGCAAACAGG
rnacentral:rRNA from 1 species